rnacentral:rRNA from 1 species
CAAGGAAUUUUCCCCAAUGGGCGCAAGCCUGAGGGAGCAACGCCGCGUGCAGGACGACGGCUUUCGGGUUGUAAACUGCUUUUGCGUGGGACGAUAACGACGGUACCACGCGAAUAAGCCCCGGCUAACUCUGUGCCAGCAGCCGCGGUAUUACAGAGGGGGCAAGCGUUGUCCGGACUUACUUGGCGUAAAGCGCACGCAGGUGGUAAGGCAAGUGGGGUGUGAAAGCCUUCAGCUUAACUGGCGGAGGCCAUCCCAAACUGCUUCACUUGAGGCCUGGAGAGGUAUGUGGAAUUGCCGGUGUAGUGGUGAAAUGCGUAGAGAUCGGCAGGAACACCCAGGGGGAAACCAGCAUACGGGACAGGACCUGACACUCAGGUGCGAAAGCGUGGGGAGCGAACCGGAUUAGAUACCCCCGUAGUCC